rnacentral:rRNA from 1 species
AAGGGCACCACAAGAACGCGUGGAGCAUGUGGCUUAAUUUGACUCAACGCGGGAAAUCUUACCGGGUCCGGACACACUGAGGAUUGACAGGCAAUAUCUAAAUCGUUUAUAAUUCUAAAUUAUAAUACGUAUUUAGUGUUAAAUAUGCUAGUCCUUUCAUGAUUAUGUGAUAGGUGGUGCAUGGCCGUUCUUAGUUCGUGGAGUGAUCUGUCUGCUUAAUUGCGUUUCACUAAGGGCCCAUAAAUUCAAGGUAUGCUAGCUAUCGUUUCCCAAUUGACCCCUUGUCUUCGAUAAGCGCGUGUCUUUUAGAGUUUAAACAUUGCGCAUGCUGUUGGGUCCUGAAAGCAACGAACGUGACCGCAACGUCUUAUUGCCUUUAUCUUGUUAUAUUCUAAUUUAAUUAGAAAUAACUAACAGAGGCUAAUUUAAAAUUAGACGGACCGCUGUACUUUUCUUAAACCAGAGGAAGGUUGCGGCAAUAACAGGUCUGUGAUGCCCUUAGAUGUUCCAGGCUGCACACGUGCUACAAUGAUCAGUACAGUGAGCAUCUCAAUAUUAUACACCGUAUUAAGCGCUUAGUUGCGAUUAUUGGCUCAUUAUUGGGUCUUUUAAUUGUAUUUCUAAUGCGCGCGGUAAAGCCUGCUUCGAGAGUAAGUGGGUAAUCCAUUGGAAGUAAUGAUUUCUCUUUUUAUAGCACACCUAUAUACGGCAUUCAUUCCCGGGACGACUAGUUUCGUCCUUUUUGUGCGAAUGUAAUGUAUUCUUUAUCCGUAUGUGCGAUUGUCAAUUCAUGGUGGGACAGACCAUUGUUAAUUGUUGGUCUCGGUCUUAACUAGGAAUGCCUUGUACGGGUCUUUGGUUCAACAAACCACCCGGAAUACGUCCCUGCCCUUUGUACACACCGCCCGUCGCUCUUACCGAUGAACUUCUUUGUGAGUCUAAGGGACUGGGUUAAUCUGUAAUUCUAUUAUGGAUAUACCUAUGGAAACUUAUACGAUCAAUGUGGUUUAAAGGAAAGAGAAGUCGUAACAAGGCAUCA